AGAAAAAAAAUAUACUAGGCAUUUUGUCACAAAAAGAGAUGCAAAAUAUAUGGGUAAAACAAACAGAAAAAUUCUGGAAGCAGGGUAUGUGAAGUUGAGUGAGCAACUGAACUCACUGUCAGACCAGUGCCAGAGCUGGACCCAUCAAAGAAACAUCAAAAGAGCAUAAAGGAGAAAACUUGGACAGAAGAAAACUUGAAAGUGUCCUUCAAAGAGCAGCUCAGAUAGCAUCAUUGACUGGACUUGCUUCAUUACUAUGGCUUUGCAGAAUGGAUCAACCUCAGGUAGCCCUAUUACAAAAGGAACUGACUCAGCUCAAGAGAAAAGCUUCAACUCCCUAUGAUUUCAUCUUUGACCCGACCAACCAGAGCUCCUGACUCACCCACCCACUACCCACCAAAUUAUCCUUAAGAACUCUGAUCCCUGAAUGCUCGGGAAAUUCAUUUGAGUAAAAAUAAAACUCCAGUCUCCUGUACAGCCAGCUCUGUGUAAAUUACUCUUUCUCUGUUGUAAUUCCCGUCUUGAUAAAUUGGCUCAGUCUAGUCAGUGAGCAAGGUGACAAGUCCAAGAGAAAAAAAUAUUUUUUGAAAUACACAUAUGUGAGUGCAUGUACACAUUCCUUGUUCUCAAAACUUACUGUAACAGAACUCAAUGUUAACGUCAUUCCUCGCUAAGUUACAAAGUUAAGAAUAACACAGUGGUGUGAAUUUUUUAAUCAAAGAAGUACAAGGUAUUUUUAGAUUGUUUCUAAUGACAGAGUUUUACUGAUGUUCUUGUUUCCAUGCAUCUCCACAUAUCUCCACAACUGGAAAUUCCACUAGCAGUAUUCUUUCAUGUAUUCCUUUCUUCAUUCAUUCACUAACUACUUUUUGGAAGGGUACCAUGUGCGAGACACUGUUCUUGAUACAGAGAUGAACAAAAAAGAAAAAAUCUUUGCCAUAAUGGACCUUGCAUUCAAGUGUGGGGAGACAAGAACAUGUAAACCAAUAAUACUUUCAAAUAGUCUGAUAUGAAGAAUAUGCAACGCAGUAAAGAGAUACAAAGAGAGAGGGAGCUAUGUUAGAGAGGCUGGCCAAGUAAGGAUUUGCUAAAUUUUCACAUUUGAAAGGAAACCUAAAUGAUGUUUAUUAUCACGGGGAUCUUGAGGAUAAGUACUGAUGGCACAGGAAGCAGAAGGUACAAAUCCCUGAGGCGGCAAUUCAAGGAAUAGAAAGGCCAGGUGGCUGGAACACAGUAAACUAUAACAGAUUGUCUCCAUUAAAUGCAAAGAAAUUUAACUGAAAACAUAGUAAACCCUUCAUAUAUUUCCUAAGAAAUGCUGCACCUGACAGGGAGAAAAUAGAAGUUUUAGAUGUGAAUGAUGGGUAUUCUGAUAGACUCAAUAGUUAAGAGACACUCUCUCUCACAUCAGUCUGGCAGAAAAUAUGAUUCAAAUGAGUACAGUAGGGAAUUUAUAAAUUAUUACAUGUCAUGACCUUUGGAGUCUGAGGUAGAUUAAAACCACAAGAAUUGAC
rnacentral:lncRNA from 10 species